rnacentral:rRNA from 1 species
UCGAGAGUUUGAUCCUGGCUCAGGAUGAACGCUAGCGGCAGGCUUAACACAUGCAAGUCGAGGGGUAUAGUUCUUCGGAACUAGAGACCGGCGCACGGGUGCGUAACGCGUAUGCAAUCUACCUUUUACAGAGGGAUAGCCCAGAGAAAUUUGGAUUAAUACCUCAUAGUAUGUGAGAAUCGCAUGGUUUUCACAUUAAAGUUCCAAACGGUAAAAGAUGAGCAUGCGUCCCAUUAGCUAGAUGGUAAGGUAA